ACACAAUCUAAUUUGGUGUUUC
rnacentral:siRNA from 1 species